rnacentral:rRNA from 1 species
UCCGUAGGCGGGCAGCUCAGUCAGUGGUGAAAGUUUGCAGCUCAACUGUAAAAUUGCCAUUGAUACUGGUUGUCUUGAAUUAAUGUGAAGUGGUUAGAAUAUGUAGUGUAGCGGUGAAAUGCAUAGAUAUUACAUAGAAUACCAAUUGCGAAGGCAGAUCACUAAUAAUAUAUUGACGCUGAUGGACGAAAGCGUGGGGAGCGAACAGGAUUAGAUACCCUGGUAGUCC